rnacentral:lncRNA from 1 species
UUUGCAAAAACAAAGGGACAAACAUAAAACUAAAUAUAAAAAAAUAACUCAAGGCUAGACAUUACUUGCAUGAGCUCAAAGUUUAAUACAUGCUCCUUUCACACAACCAGGCAAAUGAUGGCCAAAUGAAAUUAUAUCCAAAAUAUUGAUACAAGAUUAAAGAUGCUUGUCACAGUUUAGUUACUAACGUAUAGUCAUAAUGUUACAACAUUCAAGAGCAUGUAAAAAUGAAUUACAAUAAACGAAUGAAACUACUAAUGUUUCCCUGCAUCAAUAUCUUUCAUUCCACACUUGAUUUUAGGAGUUUACAUGGUCUGAAAGUUACCUGGACAGCAGAAAGAAGAAAAAAUUCAGCAAAGUCAACUCUUUCCAGAUCAAUAAUUGGACAGCAGAACAAUUAAAUGAGCAGCAACUAAGCAAAAGACAGCCAACAACCAGCAGAUUUUUGAACCCAAGAAAAUGAACCAAAAAUACACAGCAAAGCAGUUUGAAACUAGCAACUAGUAACUCCAGAAAAUGCUUACAAGACCCCUCUUUUUUUCACAAGUUUUUCACUCUAAGAAACACUCACUAAGCUCGGAAUUUUCAGCUUACUAUUAGAUAUGUUCAGCUGCUAUCUUUUAUUCUUAAAGUUGUGUAUUUUAUACUUAGGGUAAAAGAUGUCUAAGGGUCAUAGUGUGUGUAAAGUGAGGAAAGAGCCAGCCCUUGAGUAGGCAAAAGGUGAAAGGACUGCAUGAAACCUGUUAUGGCAGAAGCAAGGAGGAAAGGGGUCCUUUCAGCCACCCUACUAGUAAAAGUAGGCUACUAAAGUAGCCUAUUUUAUGAUUAAACUCAUCUAUCAUUCAGAUUUUAACAACAUCAGCACCAACAAUGUCAUUCAAACAAAACUAAAAUAGAAAAACACAUAACUAGACGAAAUUGAACUAUAAAUCAACUAAGGAAAACUCGAAACCUAAUAGCUAAAAAUCAAACAAAACAAGUGUAUUAUCCAAACUAACUAAUUGAAACCAUCAGCUUAAUAUAUCACAUACUAACUAAUUAUUUCAUUAAAACAAUUAUGACUAAAUAAUACACUUAAAUAAACAGAAACUCAAUACAUUAAUAAGCUAAAUAGCCCUAAUAACCAAUAGAUAAACAACUACUAAUCAAACUAAUAAUCAAGUGAUUACACUAAAUGACUACGAACAUAAGCGAAAUAACGAAUUUUACACUAUAACAAAAACUACAAUCAAACAGUACGAGACAGAAAAUCAGAAACAUGGAGGAAACGAUUAGGGUUCGAGUUUACCCAAUUUGAGUAUCCGAAUAGUGGUGGCGUAGGGACGAUUAGGCAACGGGACAAUGGUACGGCUCGAGCAAGCUUCUAUUGUUGAUUUUCAUUGAAACCAUGACUCUGGAGAAUUGGAGACUAGUUUCACUGAAAUCGACAACAAAACCUCACUUGAGGCCAGUAUGAAUGCAGCAAGGAAGAAUGCCCGGAGGUCUGGGGUGGUUCAAGGGAGGCAGUACAGAGGUUAGCAGCGACGGAAGUUGGAUUUUUCGGGUAAAAUGGGUAGGAGAGGAUAGAUCUUGACGAGAUAUAUUAGUUUAUGUAUGUAUUACGGGGUGUGAAAGUUAUAUCUCGCCGAAAUUUGAGGUGGCGGCGGCUAGAGUUUUUUGAUUUAGGGGUAGAUUUGGUAAGAUUGAGGGUGAUUUCAGGGAUUUGGGGUUUGGAUAUGGGUAGAGGAUGAAGAGAAGAGAAGAUUGGUGUAAGGUCUAUGGGGUUUGGAGGUGGUCGGCCGGUGGUGGCGAUUUUCGACCGGUUAAGCCACUGUGGGGGUGGCGGAGAGGUCUGAGGGACGAGAGAGAGAGAAGAGAGAAGGAGAAGAGAAGAAACUAGGGCAAAAUGGGGG